rnacentral:rRNA from 1 species
GAUGAACGCUGGCGGCGUGCUUAACACAUGCAAGUCGAACGAUGAUCCGGUGCUUGCACCGGGGAUUAGUGGCGAACGGGUGAGUAACACGUGAGUAACCUGCCCUUAACUCUGGGAUAAGCCUGGGAAACUGGGUCUAAUACCGGAUAUGACUCCUCAUCGCAUGGUGGGGGGUGGAAAGCUUUUUGUGGUUUUGGAUGGACUCGCGGCCUAUCAGCUUGUUGGUGAGGUAAUGGCUCACCAAGGCGACGACGGGUAGCCGGCCUGAGAGGGUGACCGGCCACACUGGGACUGAGACACGGCCCAGACUCCUACGGGAGGCAGCAGUGGGGAAUAUUGCACAAUGGGCGAAAGCCUGAUGCAGCGACGCCGCGUGAGGGAUGACGGCCUUCGGGUUGUAAACCUCUUUCAGUAGGGAAGAAGCGAAAGUGACGGUACCUGCAGAAGAAGCGCCGGCUAACUACGUGCCAGCAGCCGCCGUAACAC